rnacentral:pre_miRNA from 15 species
CGGAGGUGCAUUGUAGUCGCAUUGUCUGUAUCCUUUAUUCUCUGCGGCAAUACAACUGCAGUGCAAGCUCCG